UUUUUUUAAUUUUCUCUCUUUAUCAUGUGAGUCUCUGAAAUAAAUCCCUGUUCAUCAGCCUUGGCAGCAGCCACUGUUACCCACUGAGUCAUCUUGCUGAUCCCAAUCUUUUCCUUUUUUAAGAUUAAAAAUUUUAAAUUUAUGUAUAUGUAUAUUCAUGUGUGCAGGUGCCCCUGGAAGCCACAAGAGGGCAGCAGAUCUCUCAGAGCCGGAGUUACAGGUUGUUGGGACCCUUCAGUAUGGGCUGGCAACUGACCUCCCUGCCAUCCUCUGCAGCACAGCAGCAGCAACCCGAAUCAUUAUUAAAGCACCCUAGAAUGCUACUGAAUGCUUGAGGAGAAUUCUGGAAAGACUAAAUGAAAUCGUGUAAAGCCCUUGACCAGUGGUUAAUGACCGCCCACCACCCACCAGAGGGAGUGGAAAAGAAAGGAUAUGGGGGAAGUGGACCUGUUUAGAAAUUAUUCUUGUAAAUCCCACCUUGGUGGUCUGGAAAUCAGCAGUUCAGCAGUGGCAGCUCGAUCCACUCACAAACAUUUCAUGAAUACACCAGCAGUCCAGUUUGGGAGCUGGGAUAGCAAACACAAUCGGCAGAGGUAGCACCACCUAGCUGAGACAGCCAGACCUCAGCUGAAUUGGCACAAGUCAACAGGGACCAGGGACGAGAGGAACACCAGAAGUUCUUGGCGGUGCCUGUCUCAGUGAAGAUCAGCAAAGAUGCGAGGCCAAGAAGUGUUGCAGAGUUAGAUCUACAAGCAAAGCCUCUCACAAUCCACUGAGUCCUGUUUAUACUCCCUCCAAACAUCACGUGUCCUCCACAGGUCUAGCCUCAGCACUUGUGUCUGUCUCAGCUGACUUCACUCUGCCAGUCAGCCCCAGUCUGAGGAAGCAGCAGAAGCCACAGCACGCCACCACAAGUUUUUUGGUGCAUUUCUUUCUACGAAAUCCUAACAAAUGGAGCUCAACUACACUCUGUAAGGAGGACUAAUACAGGUGCACUGUUAUCAAAGACUCCUUCAUCACGUGUCUGCUUUAGCAGAACACCCUUUUACCUCCGUCUGCUUCAGGAAAACAACCCUUCAUGUGUUUGCCCCAGCAAAACACUAUCCCACACAAUUGAUUUUCCAAAGAACUCUCACAUUUCUACUUCAUAAUAUAUUAUGUAAGGGUCCAUGAUUUGCAGAAUGAUACCCCAGACUCAAAUAGUUUGUAAACACAAAGAGUGUUUUAUUUUGCAGAAGUCCAGCCUGCUGAACCAUCUACAAAGAUGGAGUCCCAGAAUGAGCUUACAAGCCUGAUUUAAAGCACUUUAGGGGAAUUCCUGGGAUAGGUGACCUCUAUCUUAAUCUGUUCACUCCAUCUUUAGGGACAUCCUGAACCAUUGCUGGGGCAUGGGGGGAAGGGGCUGGAAACUGGUGCUGGGGAAAUCUGGAAACUAUUGUUGAAGUCUGGAAACGGCUCCUGACGCAUUCAUUGUCCUUGCCUCAGGCCAAGUGAUGGGGCAUCUUCUGAGGCCUGGACUUGCCCAGUUCUUGGAAACUGAGAUUUAGGUCUAGUCUUCCGAACUGCCAAUGUGAAGCCUGUCAUGGAGUCAGCCAGUCUCAAUUAUACAGAACAAAACAAGUAAGUUUCUAGAUGUAUUGGGUAGGAGUAGGUUAAGGGGGGGAUGCUCCCAUCUUGGAGCAUGUAUUCUCAGGAGUGACUACGAAUAUAAAUAAGAUAAAAAGAACAUGGGUAGAUGGAUGUGGCAGCUUGUAUCUGCAAUAGUAUUCAGUAGGCUGACAGGGAAGGAUCGUCUCAAUUGAAGUGAGAUUCUAUCGAAAGGAAAAACAAGAGAAGACAUACAUAAAGGUAGCACACCGCCUUGAAAUGUCAGUUUUACCGAGAGGCUUUGGAGUAAAGCAGAGCUUAGGCUAUCCUGUGAAAGAUGAGUCAUGGGACUGCUUUUAAAAUAAUGAGUAUACUCUCGAAUGGCCUUUCCCUUUCCCCCUGCCCCAAUAAACCUCUUCGGUUAGAUCUGUUGCAUCAUU